rnacentral:rRNA from 1 species
UACGAAGGGGGCUAGCGUUGCUCGGAAUCACUGGCGUAAGGCGCGUAGGCGGCCGAUUAAGUCGGGGUGAAAGCCUGUGGCUCAACCACAGAAUUGCCUUCGAUACUGGUUGGCUUGAGACCGGAAGAGGACAGCGGAACUGCGAGUGUAGAGGUGAAAUUCGUAGAUAUUCGCAAGAACACCAGUGGCGAAGGCGGCUGUCUGGUCCGGUUCUGACGCUGAGGCGCGAAGCGUGGGAGCAAACACGG